AAUUAAGAGCACUAAAGUAAUUUAAAGUGCCCACACAGUUUGUUUUCGGAAUAAUGAAGAGCCCGGUUCAUAACGUUGUGAGUGCGGCAGCACGAGCAUAAAGACAAAAUGAAUCAAGCGUUUUACAAGAGAUUUUGUUUUAAUCGAGGCGCAGGCGCGAACAAGCAAAGGGGCAUACGUCAGUAUGUGACUGAGCAAGAGAGUGCAUGCAACGAAGAGUACAACAAAAGAUCGCUGUAAAAAAGGGGUCGUAGCUCAGCUGGGAGAGCACCUGCCUUGCACGCAGGGGGUCAGGAGUUCGAUCCUCCUCGGCUCCACCAAGUUAUAAGGGUUUUCAUUCGGUUUAUUCAGAUUAAAGUAUUUUCACGAGAGUAUUUUAAUCUGGAAUAACCAGACGUUCAUUAAAAAAAUGGUAAAUAAAGAGGUAACACAAGCGUACUUGUAUUGAAACAGUGCCGUAUGAUUUGAGGUAAUUGAGAUUAUAU
rnacentral:tRNA from 1 species